UCACUUCACAUUCAGAACGAAGUGACUAUAUAGGGUCCUGCCGGCUUCGGUCGGCUAUGACGAUAAAUUGCCCCGUGCAAUAGACGCAGCGGACCCGGGGGCGGUACCCGGCGGCUCCACCAUCACUCGUCUCCCGCAAGGGGGCAUCCUGUGUUGUCGCAGGAGUGAUGACGGGGCCGAACUAGGAUCGACGUGUGUUGAAAAGCGGUGUUUUCGUCCGGGCUGAGUAACCCGUUCAAGGCUCAAAACUCAUAAGUGCCAACGACAACGAAGCACUUGCUCUCGCAGCGUAAUUCUAGGGGCUAACGCCCUGAAGUUACAAAGCCAGAACACGGUUGGACCCACCGGGUAACAGAAGCGGAUUCC
rnacentral:tmRNA from 1 species